rnacentral:rRNA from 1 species
CCUACGGGAGGCUGCAGUGAGGAAUAUUGGUCAAUGGACGAGAGUCUGAACCAGCCAAGUAGCGUGAAGGAUGACUGCCCUAUGGGUUAUAAACUUCUUUUAUAUGGGAAUAAAAUGUUCCACGUGUGGGAUGUGGUAUGUACCAUAUGAAUAAGGAGCGGCUAACUCCGUGCCAGCAGCCGCGGUAAUACGGAGGAUCCGAGCGUUAUCCGGCUUUAUUGGGGUUAACGGGAGCGUAGGUGGAUUGUUAAGUCCGUUGUGAAAGUUUGCGGCGCAACCGUAAAAUUGCAGUUGAAACUGGCAGUCUUGAGUACAGUAGCGGUGGGCGGAUUUCGUGGUGUAGCGG